rnacentral:rRNA from 1 species
UGGGGAAUAUUGCGCAAUGGGGGAAACCCUGACGCAGCAACGCCGCGUGAAGGAAGAAGGUCUUCGGAUUGUAAACUUCUUUUGUCAGGGACGAAGAAAGUGACGGUACCUGACGAAUAAGCUCCGGCUAACUACGUGCCAGCAGCCGCGGUAAUACGUAGGGAGCGAGCGUUGUCCGGAUUUACUGGGUGUAAAGGGUGCGUAGGCGGCCGAGCAAGUCAGUUGUGAAAACUAUGGGCUUAACCCAUAACGUGCAAUUGAAACUGUCCGGCUUGAGUGAAGUAGAGGUAGGCGGAAUUCCCGGUGUAGCGGUGAAAUGCGUAGAGAUCGGGAGGAACACCAGUGGCGAAGGCGGCCUACUGGGCUUUAACUGACGCUGAGGCACGAAAGCAUGGGUAGCAAACAGGAUUAGAUACCCUGGUAGUCCAUGCCGUAAACGAUGAUUACUAGGUGUGGGGGGACUGACCCCUUCCGUGCCGCAGUUAACACAAUAAGUAAUCCACCUGGGGAGUACGGCCGCAAGGUUGAAACUCAAAGGAAUUGACGGGGGCCCGCACAAGCAGUGGAGUAUGUGGUUUAAUUCGAAGCAACGCGAAGAACCUUACCAGGUCUUGACAUCCUGAGAAUCCUUAAGAGAUUAGGGAGUGCCUUCGGGAACUCAGAGACAGGUGGUGCAUGGUUGUCGUCAGCUCGUGUCGUGAGAUGUUGGGUUAAGUCCCGCAACGAGCGCAACCCUUGCUAUUAGUUGCUACGCAAGAGCACUCUAAUAGGACUGCCGUUGACAAAACGGAGGAAGGUGGGGACGACGUCAAAUCAUCAUGCCCCUUAUGACCUGGGCUACACACGUACUACAAUGGCCAUUAACAGAGGGAAGCAAAACCGCGAGGCAGAGCAAACCCCUAAAAAUGGUCCCAGUUCGGAUUGUAGGCUGCAACCCGCCUACAUGAAGUUGGAAUUGCUAGUAAUCGCGGAUCAGCAUGCCGCGGUGAAUACGUUCCC